CGGGAAACCGGAGCUAAUACGAUAAUAUUUUGAACCGCAUGGUUCAAAAGUAGAAAGACGGUCUUGCUGUCACUUAUAGAUGGAUCCGCGCUGCAUUAGCUAGUUGGUAAGGUAACGGCUUACCAAGGCAACGAUGCAUAGCCGACCUGAGAGGGUGAUCGGCCACACUGGAACUGAGACACGGUCCAGACUCCUACGGGAGGCAGCAGGG
rnacentral:rRNA from 1 species